rnacentral:tRNA from 1 species
AGCCUUAUAGUUAAAAUAAUAAUAAUAAACUGCAAUUUUAAAGUUAAUAAAAUUAUUUAAGGCUU